rnacentral:rRNA from 1 species
GUGGGGAAUAUUGGACAAUGGGCGAAAGCCUGAUCCAGCAAUGCCGCGUGCAGGAUGAAGGCCCUCGGGUUGUAAACUGCUUUUGUACGGAACGAAAAGCCUGGGGCUAAUAUCCCCGGGUCAUGACGGUACCGUAAGAAUAAGCACCGGCUAACUACGUGCCAGCAGCCGCGGUAAUACGUAGGGUGCAAGCGUUAAUCGGAAUUACUGGGCGUAAAGCGUGCGCAGGCGGUUUUGUAAGACAGUGGUGAAAUCCCCGGGCUCAACCUGGGAACUGCCAUUGUGACUGCAAGGCUAGAGUGCGGCAGAGGGGGAUGGAAUUCCGCGUGUAGCAGUGAAAUGCGUAGAUAUGCGGAGGAACACCGAUGGCGAAGGCAAUCCCCUGGGCCUGCACUGACGCUCAUGCACGAAAGCGUGGGGAGCAAACAGGAUUAGAUACCCGAGUAGUCC